CGUUCAAACUAUGAAACAUGACAGUUUUUAAUCAGUGGUUUAAUCAGUGUGAGCAAAGCUUUCCCAAACUGUCUCUUGAUGUUUUUAUCUGAUGUUGUUUCAGGAAAGUUGGUGACAGAGACUCUUUGUCUUCAGCAGGACUCCUCAAAGAGGACACAGAGCAGAAACACUGACACCAAUCAACCAGUCUGAUGUUUUAGAGACAUAAUGGAUCCGUUAACAUCUGAUGAUGAUUUAAAGUCUCAGAGGAGCAGCAGCCCUGAACUCAUUCGUCCU